rnacentral:rRNA from 1 species
GACGAACGCUGGCGGCGUGCUUAACACAUGCAAGUCGAACGAAGUGGCGAACGGGUUAGUAACGCGUAAUUAACCUGCCCUUCAGAGGGGGAAACCAGUUGGCAACGACUGCUAAUACCGCAUACUGAAGGAGGGGAUUGCGUCUGAUUAGCUAGUUGGAGGGGUCACGGCCCACCAAGGCGAUGAUCAGUAGCCGGUCUGAGAGGAGGAACGGCCACAUUGGGACGGAGACACGGCCCAGACUCCUACGGGAGGCAGCAGUGGGGAAUCUUCCGAAAUUGACGAAAGUCUGAAGGAGCAACGCCGCGGGAGUGAUGACGGCCUUCGGGUUGUAAAGCUCUGUUAAUCGGGACGCGGUACCGGAAUAGAAAGCCACGGCUAACUACGUGCCAGCCGCCGCGGUAAUUC